rnacentral:rRNA from 1 species
GGUUUUUGUGCCUUUUGCAUCAUGCUUGAUGGAUUUAGUAAAUUAUUUUAUCGAAAAGUUUAGAUCUUAUAUUUCAUUGUUUGGAAGUAAGUGUUUAUCCUAGGUAAGGUUAGUUAAAUGAUUUAUAAGAAGUGAUAAAUUAGUCGUUAAAUUUUAUAUCUAUUUAGCUGCUUCGUAGUAUUGAGUUAAGUUAUGGGUUAUGAUAUCCAUAAUUUGUUUACACUAUAAUUAAUUUUUAAUUAAAGAUUAGGUUAGAAUUACCUGUUUUUUAUAAGUUUGUUAAAAAUUUUUUGUUAUAUAAUUGGAUAGUUAAUUUAUGUAGUAGCUUAAUGAAAUUUUUAGUAUGCUAAUGAUCAUUAAAUAAGUAAUUAUAUUAUAUCAGUUAUUUCUCGGUAAUUUUCCGUCUGUUUAUUAAAAACAUUUCCAAUUUUAAUAAUAGUUGGUAUUACCUGCUCUAUGUUUAUAUAAAUGGCCGCAGUAUAUUGACUGUGCGAAGGUAGCAUAUAAUUAAUUGCCUUUUAAUUGGGGGCUUGUUUGAAUGGUUUGACGUGAU